UGCUUCGGGCUGUUCGGGCUCGGCUCGAUCCUCCCACCCUUUGUGUACCUACCUCUGUUGCUUUGGCGGGCCGCGGUCCUCCGCGGCCGCCCCCCUCCCCGGGGGGGUGGCCAGCGCCCGCCAGAGGACCAUCAAACUCCAGUCAGUAAACGAUGCAGUCUGAAAAACAUUUAAUAAACUAAAACUUUCAACAACGGAUCUCUUGGUUCUGGCAUCGAUGAAGAACGCAGCGAAAUGCGAUAAGUAAUGUGAAUUGCAGAAUUCAGUGAAUCAUCGAAUCUUUGAACGCACAUUGCGCCCUUUGGUAUUCCGAAGGGCAUGCCUGUUCGAGCGUCAUUACAACCCUCAAGCUCUGCUUGGUAUUGGGCACCGUCCUUUGCGGGCGCGCCUCAAAGACCUCGGCGGUGGCGUCUUGCCUCAAGCGUAGUAGAACAUACAUCUCGCUUCGGAGCGCAGGGCGUCGCCCGCCGGACGAACCUUCUGAACUUUUCUCAAGGUUGACCUCGGAUCAGGUAGGGAUACCCGCUGAACUUAAGCAUAUCAAUAAGCGGAGGAA
rnacentral:rRNA from 1 species